GGACUAUCCGCCCGGGUACUACGAGCUUUAGCUUAAAACCCAAAGGACUUGGCGGUGCUUAAGACCCACCUAGAGGAGCCUGUUCUAUAACCGAUACCCCCCGUUUAACCUCACCCUCUCUUGUUCAUACCGCCUAUAUACCGCCGUCGUCAGCUCACCCUGUGAAGGAUCUGUAGUAAGCAAAAUUGGCAUGGCCCAAAACGCCAGGUCGAGGUGUAGCGUAUGAGAGGGGAAGAUAAUGGGCUACAUUUCCUAACCAGG
rnacentral:rRNA from 1 species